rnacentral:rRNA from 1 species
GAACGCCCCCGCAAGGGGGAGUGGCAGACGGGUGAGUAACACGUGGGAACAUGCCCUUCGGUACGGAAUAGCUCAGGGAAACUUGGAUUAAUACCGUAUACGCCCUUGGACUUUGGUUUAGGGGGAAAGAUUGCAUUGCCGAAGGAUUGGCCCGCGUUCGAUUAGCUAGUUGGUGGGGUAACGGCUCACCAAGGCGACGAUCGAUAGCUGGUCUGAGAGGAUGGCCAGCCACAUUGGGACUGAGACACGGCCCAAACUCCUACGGGAGGCAGCAGUGGGGAAUAUUGGACAAUGGGCGCAAGCCUGAUCCAGCCAUGCCGCGUGAGUGAUGACGGCCUUAGGGUUGUAAAGCUCUUUCGCACGCGACGAUAAUGACGGUAGCGUGAGAAGAAGCCCCGGCUAACUUCGUGC